rnacentral:rRNA from 1 species
GUGUCAGCAGCCGCGGUAAGACGAACCGUGCGAACGUUGUUCGGAAUCACUGGGCUUAAAGGGCGCGUAGGCGGGCCGUCAAGUCUGUGGUGAAAUCCUCCAGCUUAACUGGAGAACUGCCGUGGAUACUGGCGGUCUCGAGGAUGGUAGGGGCGUGCGGAACAGUUGGUGGAGCGGUGAAAUGCGUUGAUAUCAACUGGAACUCCGGUGGCGAAGGCGGCACGCUGGACCAUGUCUGACGCUGAGGCGCGAAAGCCAGGGGAGCAAACGGGAUUAGAAACCCCCGUAGUCC